rnacentral:misc_RNA from 1 species
GAAAUGCGAUAAGUAGUGUGAAUUGCAGAAUUCAGUGAAUCAUCGAAUCUUUGAACGCACAUUGCGCCCCUUGGUAUUCCAUGGGGCAUGCCUGUUCGAGCGUCAUUUGUACCCUCAAGCUCUGCUUGGUGUUGGGUGUUUGUCCCCGUCUCCGCGCGUGGACUCGCCCCAAAGUGAUUGGCAGCCGGCGUACUGGUCCCGGAGCGCAGCACAUGUCGCGCAAACGAGUGCCUUGGUACGGCGGCGUCCAUAAGCCCCUCUCUCACGCUCUUGACCUCGGAUCAGGUAGGGAUGCCCGCUGAACUUAAGC